rnacentral:rRNA from 1 species
AUAUAGCCUUGUAGGCAACUCAUUAUCCGUCAAGGAAUGAAGGCUCGUGGUCUACCACUUUUGCUCAGUAGUUGGUCAAAAUUAUGUGGACUUCAAUCGAUGGAACGACCCACGGUCCAUAGGUCUAAGCGGGAUUUGCCCAUUGUCGUGAUGAUUCAUAUUAACUCGACGGAUCGCCCGACCAUCGAGACGGUGAUGCAUCAUUCAAAUUUCUGCCCUAUCAACUUUCGAUGGUAGGAUAGUGGCCUACCAUGGUAGUGACAGGUGAUGGAGAAUUAGGGUUCGAUUUCGGAGGGGGAGCCUGAGAAACGGCUACCAUAUCCAAGGAAGG